rnacentral:rRNA from 1 species
CGGCACAGCGGGAAGCCAGGUGGUGACACCGAGCAGAACCCGAAAGCCGUUCUCAGUUCGGAUCGGAGUCUGCAACCCGACUCCGUGAAGCUGGAUUCGCUAGUAAUCGCGCAUCAGCCAUGGCGCGGUGAAUACGUUCCCGGGCCUUGUACACACCGCCCGUCAAGCCAUGGAAGCCGGGGGCGCUUGAAGUGCGUUGCCGCAAGGCGCGCCCUAGAGCGAAACCGGUGACUGGGGCUAAGUCGUAACAAGGUACC